rnacentral:rRNA from 1 species
UCGAGGGAUAAGCCUUCGGGCUAAGACCGGCGCACGGGUGCGUAACGCGUAUACAAUCUGCCUUUCACUGGGGGAUAGCCCGAAGAAAUUUGGAUUAAUACCCCAUAGUAUAGUAGUGUGGCAUCACACAACUAUUAAAGCUUAGGUGGUGAAAGAUGAGUAUGCGUUCUAUUAGCUAGUUGGAGAGGUAACGGCUCCCCAAGGCGAUGAUAGAUAGGGGUUCUGAGAGGGAUGUCCCCCACACUGGUACUGAGAUACGGACCAGACUCCUACGGGAGGCAGCAGUGAGGAAUAUUGGACAAUGGUCGGAAGACUGAUCCAGCCAUGCCGCGUGCAGGAUGAAGGUCUUAUGGAUUGUAAACUGCUUUUGUAAGGGAGGAAUAAGAGCUACGCGUAGUUUGAUGACGGUACCUUAUGAAUAAGCAUCGGCUAACUCCGUGCCAGCAGCCGCGGUAAUACGGAGGAUGCGAGCGUUAUUCGGAAUCAUUGGGUUUAAAGGGUCUGUAGGCGGGCUAUUAAGUCAGGGGUGAAAGGUUUCAGCUUAACUGAGAAAUUGCCUUUGAUACUGGUAGUCUUGAAUGGUUGUGAAGUAGUUGGAAUGUGUAGUGCAGCGGUGAAAUGCUUAGAUAUUACACAGAACACCGAUUGCGGAGGCAGGGGACUAACAGACGAUUGACGCUGAGAGACGAAAGCGUGGGGAGCGAACAGGAUU